rnacentral:lncRNA from 1 species
UGUCCCCAUCUCAUGUUCCUCUGCCACCUCCGUCCCUGGCCCGUGUCCCCCUGCCACCUCUGUCCCCAUCUCAUGUUCCUCUGCCACCUCUGUCCCUGGCCCGUGUCCCCCUGCCACCUCCGUCUCCGUCCCACAUCUACCUGUCACCUCUGCUUCAUSCUAUGUCCCCAAGUCCUUCUCCCAUGUCCCCAUGUCCCAAGUCUCCCAUGACACCUCUGCUCCUGCCUUGUGUCCCCCUGCCAUCUCCAUCCCCAUCCCACGUUCCUCCACCACCUCCAUCCCUGUCCCGUGUUCCUCUGCCAUCUCUGUCCCUGUCUUGUGUCCCCCUGCCACCUCCGUCUCUGUCCCACGUCUCCCUGCCGCCUCUGUCCCUGUCCUGUGUCCCCAAGUCCCUUUCCCAAGUCCUCCGUGACACCUCUGCUCCUGCCUUGUGUCCCCCUAACUCCAUUCAUGUCCCCCUGCCAUCUCCAUCCCCAUCCCACGUUCCUCUGCUACCUCUGUCCCUGUCUCGUGUCCCCCUGUCACCUCUGCUUCAUCCUAUGUCCCCAAGUCCUUCUCCCAUGUCCCAAGUUCUCCAUGACACCUCUGCUCCUGCCUUGYGUCCCCCAACUCCCCCUGCCACCUCCAUGCCCAUCCCACCUUCCUCUGCCACCUCCGUCCCUGGCCCGUGUCCCCCUGCCACCUCCGUCUCCGUCCCAUGUCCCCCUGCUGCCUCUGCCCUGUCCUGUGUUCCCAAGUCCCUCUCUCAUGUCCCCAUGUCCCAAGUCUCCCAUGACACCUCUGCUCCUGCCUUGUGUCCCCCUGCCACCUCCAUCCCCAUCCCACGUUCCUCUGCCACCUCCAUCCCCAUCCCACGUUCCUCUGCCACCUCUGUCCCUGUCCCGUGUCUCCCUGCCACCUCCCUCUCUGUCCCACAUCCCCCAGGGCCUUGCCGUUGCCAGCGGCACCCGGUGGCACCCAGGACCCCGUAGGAGGUCCUCACCAGGGCUGGUGGCACCCAGGACCCCGUAGGAGGUCCUCACCAGGNNNNNNNNNNNNNNNNNNNNNNNNNNNNNNNNNNNNNNNNNNNNNNNNNN